UACGGGGGGAGCAAGCGUUGUUCGGAUUACUGGGCGUAAAGGGCGCGUAGGCGGCCAGCACAAGUCAGUUGUGAAAUCUCCGAGCUUAACUCGGAAAGGUCAACUGAUACUGUGCGGCUAGGAGUGCGGAAGGGGCAACUGGAAUUCUUGGUGUAGCGGUGAAAUGCGUAGAUAUCAAGAGGAACACCUGCGGAAGCGGAAUGGCGGUUGGCGUGGGCCGACGACGU
rnacentral:rRNA from 1 species